UGAGGGAUAUUGCGCAAUGGGGGAAACCCUGACGCAGCGACGCCGCGUGGGCGAAGACGGUCUUCGGAUUGUAAAGCCCUUUUCUGCGUGACGAGGAAGGACGGUAGCGCAGGAAGAAGUCUCGGCUAACUACGUGCCAGCAGCCGCGGUAAAACCGUAGGAGGCAAGCGUUAUCCGGAGUUACUGGGCGUAAAGCGCGCGCAGGCGGUGCGUUAAGUGUAUUGUCAAAGACACAGGCUCAACCUGGGGCAGGCAACACAGACUGACGGACUGGAGGCAGCUAGAGGGACGUGGAAUUCGGGGUGUAGCGGUGAAAUGUGUAGGGAUCCCGAGGAACACCGAGCGGUGAAGACGGCGUCCUGGGGCUGACCUGACGCUGAGGCGCGAAGGCGUGGGGAGCGA
rnacentral:rRNA from 1 species